AUGCACGCUAGCGGCAGGCCUAAUACAUGCAAGUCGGACGGGAUUCAGGAGCUUGCUUCUGAUGAGAGUGGCGCACGGGUGCGUAACACGUAUGUAACCUACCUUUAUCAGGGGGAUAGCCUCUCGAAAGAGAGAUUAAGCCCGCAUAAAAUCACAGCACAGCAUUGUGUAAUGAUCAAAUAUUUAUAGGAUAAAGAUGGGCAUGCGGAACAUUAGCUAGAUGGCGGGGUAACGGCCCACCAUGGCGACGAUGUUUAGGGGAUCUGAGAGGAUGGCCCCCCACACUGGUACUGAGACACGGACCAGACUCCUACGGGAGGCAGCAGUAAGGAAUAUUGGUCAAUGGGCGGAAGCCUGAACCAGCCAUGCCGCGUGCAGGAAGACGGCCCUACGGGUUGUAAACUGCUUUUAUACGGGAAUAAACCCAGAUACGUGUAUCUGGCUGAAUGUACUGUAAGAAUAAGGAGCGGCUAACUCCGUG
rnacentral:rRNA from 1 species